rnacentral:rRNA from 1 species
GAUGAACGCUGGCAGAAUGCUUAACACAUGCAAGUCAACUUGUGGCGGACGGGUGAGUAAGGCGUAAAGAACGUGCCUCACAGCUAGGGACAACAAUUGGAGACGACUGCUGAUACUUAAUACUGUGAGAGAGCUUUGCGGCCCAUUAGCUAGUUGGAGAGGUAACGGCUCACCAAGGCGAUGAUGGGUAGCCGGCCUGAGAGGGUGAUCGGCCCCAAGGGGACUGAGACACAGCCCUUAGUGAUACGGGAGGCAGGAGUGGGGAAUAUUGAACAAUGGACCGAAGUAUGAUGCAGCAAUUCGGGGUGCACGAUAAAGUUUUCGGAAGGUAAAGGGCGUUCAUUUGGGAAGCGGUACCAACAGAAGAAGCGACGGCUAAAUACGUGCCAGCAGCCGCGGUAAUAC